AACUACAUUUUCAGCUCUUCACGGGCAGGGAGAGAAGGGGGGCAUGAUCGGCGGGGCAGAGUUCUUUCGGAAGGACAGCGUGGUGGGCAACAUGGACGGAUACCUCAGCUACCUGUCCCUCGAGUAUGACUUCGUCUCGGACACCAAUCCUGCUUGGGUAUCUUCAUUUUGGAAGCAGGAAUCCUUUCCUCAUAAGAUGGAUGAGCUGUAGGAUUUGAUUCUGUUCAGCUUGAAUUAGUUUUUCAUCAUCAUGUUCUUUGUAUUAGGAAUUCAUGCCUUCCAGCUCUAAUUUUUUCGCAUUGUUAGUGUAUGCUGGGAGUCACAUUAUUAUGCUGCUAGCAAACAGUAGGAUUGGAAGUCUUACUCUGUAGGUUAGUAAUAUCUUUUCCACUAUACCGAGGUUCAGCAAUUUAAUUCGUAUUAAGGUCACACAAGCAGUUUGGUUUUCAGAUUUGUCUUGACAAACAUAUUUGGUUCAGCAAUUUAAUUCAUAUUAAAGUCACACAAGCAGUUUGGUUUUUAGAUUUGUCUUGACAAACAUAUUUUGCAGAUUAUCCUCACAUAUGAAAUUGAUUUCUGCAAGUUCCUUUCACUUCUUAUUUAUUUCUUCACUUGGUUAUGAUGUACUGCUAUUCGUUUUCAUGAUGAUUCAUGCGUUUUGUAGUUUUCACUGACAGAAUCUUGUCUUGAAACAAGAUUGGUUCCCAUUGUUACAGUGAAGUAGCUACCAAGCAGCGAGGCCAUCGAGUGACACGAGACCGCGGGACGGCGUGAGAAGAAGCAGGGGGUGUCUGGCGGGAUGGAGAAGACCACAGGGAAGUGUGGCGAUGGAGUGCAAUCCCGAAGAAGAAGAACAUUGCAAAGAAAGACCCUGGCCAAGUGCCACCCAAUUCUCUUUCACCGACCCAUCUAAUGGCCAUCAAUUCAAUUGGUCCAAGCUGUUGUGUUGACCUUCCCAUUGAUCCACUACAUCCUCGCUCAGCUGGUUCUGCUAUGUUUCUUCUCCAUGGCAUUGCUGGUUGCCGGCGUGCCUGACAUCGCGCCUUAUGUGACGUGACAUGAUGCUCCUCUACGUGUUCUUCUCACCCCGGUUUCCAUGAGGAGAGAUGUUGUUCUGUGGUUCUGUAGUUCUACUCCAUAGCAAUGAUGGAGUCACCUCCAUAUGGAUAGCAAUUAUCUCGGGAUCAUGAGAGCUGUCUACGCAACGGCCAGGGGGCAUAUGCUUCUCCUAGCACUAAGACCUCCAUCCUAUUUGAGCCAGAAUGGCUUUGGUGCCCUCUCUCGCUCAUGGUGAGGCCGUGCAUGCUUGCCAUGUUGUGGCUACGAAAUCUCAGACUGAGUCGCUUCGGUCGGGCACUAUUCAGGUACAACUCACUUUCCUCCACCAUUGUUGGUUGCUGUGCAUCACAGGCUUGACGAAAUUUCAUUGAUGGUGUCGAUCUUGCUCUUGCUAGACCCUCCUUGUUAUAAAUCUAACAUG